ncrna:unclassified sequences Rhodo-rpoB RNA
CGGCCGGGAGACUUUCCGUGGGAAGAAAGUCAUGAAUUGGCUGUCAUUAUCGUCUCAACUUUGCCCACCGCUGGGUUCCCGACAGCGUGUGUG